UACGGGGGGGGCAAGCGUUGUUCGGAAUUACUGGGCGUAAAGGGCGCGUAGGCGGCCUGCUAAGUCGGACGUGAAAUCCCUCGGCUCAACCGGGGAACUGCGUCCGAUACUGGUGGGCUCGAAUCCGGGAGAGGGAUGUGGAAUUCCAGGUGUAGCAGUGAAAUGCGUAGAUAUCGGGAGGAACACCAGUGGCGAAGGCGACUUCCUGGCCUGUUCUUGACGCUGAGGCGCGAAAGCUAGGGGAGCAAACGGG
rnacentral:rRNA from 1 species